rnacentral:rRNA from 1 species
CAGCCCCGCGGUAAUACAGAGGGUGCGAGCGUUAAUCGGAUUUACUGGGCGUAAAGCGUGCGUAGGCGGCUUCUUAAGUCGGAUGUGAAAUCCCUGAGCUUAACUUAGGAAUUGCAUUCGAUACUGGGAAGCUAGAGUAUGGGAGAGGAUGGUAGAAUUCCAGGUGUAGCGGUGAAAUGCGUAGAGAUCUGGAGGAAUACCGAUGGCGAAGGCAGCCAUCUGGCCUAAUACUGACGCUGAGGUACGAAAGCAUGGGGAGCAAACAGGAUUAGAUACCCCAGUAGUCCCUGUCUCUUAUACA